CCCUGGCUGAAAGGGAGAUGCCUUCUGCGCCAUCAUAAGCUUCAUCCAGAGCGUAAGAUCCAUUUGGUCCCACUGCAUUCCCGGAUUAGUCGCCAGGUGUUGACAAAACUGCUCGUCGUAUCGCCACCACGCGAGACCCCCAUAUGUGCGAUACACUUCCCAAACGCCAUCCAAGUAGCAAAAGAGCUUCCAACAGCGCUCCGCCGCCUACUCGCCCAUCACACUGGCCAAGAUGCAGAAUGCCCUUAACCAAUUCCCAAACAUCUUAGGGAUCUUCCUAUACUGCCUCUUCUUUUCCUCCUCCUCCUUCUUAAUGUCCUUUUUAUCCUCCUCCUUGAGGUCAAGGUAGUUCUUCAGGGGGAGAACUGAAAAGAGUUCCACGAACUCCCCUUUCCAGAUAUGCUCCUUCACCUCCAGUUUUAAGUGACAGCCUAAAGGACCCGCGAAAGAAAUGUGUACGUUCUGCAGCGCGGCCUCUGGGAUUCCCCCAAGUAAGCUGGCCCUCUCACUCGCCAGCUCAGACGCCAC